CACGUAGGGCGCAAGCGUUGUCCGGAAUUAUUGGGCGUAAAGGGCUCGUAGGCGGUUUGUCACGUCGGGGAGUGAAAACUCGGGGCUUAACCCCGAGCCUGCUUCCGAUACGGGCUGACUAGAGGUAUGCAGGGGAGAACGGAAUUCCUGGUGUAGCGGUGAAAUGCGCAGAUAUCAGGAGGAACACCGGUGGCGAAAGGCGGCUCCUGGGACCGGCAUUACGCGUGAGAGCGAAAAGCUAGGGGGAGCAAACAGGG
rnacentral:rRNA from 1 species